rnacentral:rRNA from 1 species
AUUGAACGCUGGCGGCAGGCCUAACACAUGCAAGUCGAACGAGUGGCGGAAGGGUGAGUAAGGUCUGGGAAACUGCCUGCUGGAGGGGGAUAACUAAUGGAAACGGUAGCUAAUACCGCAUACCAUCGGAUGUGCCCCGAUGGGAGUAGCGAGUAGGUGGGGUAAAGGCUCACUGAGGCGACAAUCCCUAGCUGGUCUGAGAGGAUGACCGGCCAAACUGGAACUGAGACACGGCCCAGACUCCGACGGGAGGCAGCAUUGGGGAAUAUUGCACAAUGGGCGAAAGCCUGAUCGAGCCAUGCCGCGUGUAUGAAGAAGGCCUUCGGUUUGUAAAGUACUUUCAGCGGGGAGGCGUUACCCGAAGAAGAAGCACCGGCUAACUCCGUGCCAGCAGCCGCGGUAAUAC